AACGAACGCUGGCGGCAUGCCUAACACAUGCAAGUCGAACGAGACCUUCGGGUCUAGUGGCGCACGGGUGCGUAACGCGUGGGAAUCUGCCCUUGGGUUCGGAAUAACAGUUAGAAAUGACUGCUAAUACCGGAUGAUGACUUCGGUCCAAAGAUUUAUCGCCCAGGGAUGAGCCCGCGUCGGAUUAGCUAGUUGGUGAGGUAAAAGCUCACCAAGGCGACGAUCCGUAGCUGGUCUGAGAGGAUGAUCAGCCACACUGGGACCGAGACACGGCCCAGACUCCUACGGGAGGCAGCAGUGGGGAAUAUUGGACAAUGGGCGAAAGCCUGAUCCAGCAAUGCCGCGUGAGUGAUGAAGGCCUUAGGGUUGUAAAGCUCUUUUACCCGGGAUGAUAAUGACAGUACCGGGAGAAUAAGCCCCGGCUAACUCCGUGCCAGCCGCCGCGGUAAUAC
rnacentral:rRNA from 1 species